GGAAACGGGUGCUAAUACCGGAUACGCUCAUAGAUUCAGAAGAAUGGAUGAGGAAAGGGGAAACCCGCAGACAGAUGGGUCCGCGUCCCAUUAGCUAGUUGGAGGUGUAAGAGACCCCCAAGGCGACGAUGGGUAGCCGGCCUGAGAGGGUGAACGGCCACACUGGAACUGAGACACGGUCCAGACUCCUACGGGAGGCAGCAGUGGGGAAUCUUCCGCAAUGGGCGCAAGCCUGACGGAGCAACGCCGCGUGAGUGAAGAAGGCCUUCGGGUUGUAAAACUCUGUCAUCAGGGAAGAAGAAAGUGACGGUACCUGAGGAGGAAGCCCCGGCUAACUACGUGCCAGCAGCCGCGGUAAAACGUAGGGGGCGAGCGUUGUCCGGAAUUACUGGGCGUAAAGGGCGCGUAGGCGGUUAUCCAAGUCAGGGGUGAAAACCUUGGGCUCAACUCAGGGCCUGCCUCUGAAACUGGGUAACUUGAGGGCAGGAGAGGGGAGUGGAAUUCCCAGUGUAGCGGUGAAAUGCGUAGAUAUUGGGAGGAACACCAGUGGCGAAGGCGGCUCUCUGGCCUAACCCUGACGCUGAGGCGCGAAAGCGUGGGGAUCAAACAGGAUUAGAUACCCUGGUAGUCCACGCCGUAAACGAUGGGUGCUAGGUGUAGGAGGUAUCGACCCCUUCUGUGCCGUAGUUAACACAAUAAGCACCCCGCCUGGGGAGUACGGCCGCAAGGUUGAAACUCAAAGGAAUUGACGGGGGCCCGCACAAGCGGUGGAGCAUGUGGUUUAAUUCGACGCAACGCGAAGAACCUUACCAGGGUUUGACAUCCUCUGACAACCUAUGAAAGUAGGUAUUCUAUCUUCGGAUAGACAGGGAGACAGGUGGUGCAUGGUUGUCGUCAGCUCGUGUCGUGAGAUGUUGGGUUAAGUCCCGCAACGAGCGCAACCCUUACGUUUAGUUGCUAACACGUGAAGGUGAGGACUCUAGACGAACUGCCGUUGACAAAACGGAGGAAG
rnacentral:rRNA from 1 species